GGGCGAAUAUGCUUGCUCGAAGGUUUGCGCGUUGCUCAAACAGCGAUAAAAUAACGUUGUUUCGAGCAUAUUGCACGAGUGUUUACACGUGCAGUCUGUGGGCCAGGUACACCCAAAGAUCCUACAGCCCCCUCCGCGUCGAAUAUAACAAUACCUUCAGGGUGCUACUGGGGUUGCCUCGUUUCUGUAGUGCAUAGGGGAUGUUCGCGACAGCGCGAGUUGAUUGUUUUUACGCAACUAUGCGCAAACGAUGUGGUUCCCUGGUGCGCAGAAUGAGGGGCAGCACCAACGGUGUCCUGAAGGUUUGAUUGGUGAAGAACUAAAACAAUUACCACCCAUUAGGCUAAACGGAGUUUUCAAUUAUGUAGUCUGCAGAUAUGUGGGUCUUAGUCUACCUGUCAGAACCUGUCUACCUGUCAGAACUACACAACCCAAGUGGGCAAGCAGUGACUUUUCGUUAAGUCGCGGUGUUUGUUAACAAACUCUACGAACUAACGAAAAGUGCUCGCUACAAAAAUAAGGCUUUCGGUUAAGUUUAAACAACAACAACGGGUGAGCAGCCCCUUACUACACCAUAUUCAAUAACCAAGAUUGGUCCUUCCAGCAUGACUCUUAAGCUCGGUCUACCGAGCUUUAUGCUCGCAUUAUUGGCAUGCAGGUGGGACUCCCCACUGCUGAGGCAUUGGAUAGGUUUGCAUGCGCCUCUAGCUAGUUUGCAACUUAUUGUGAAAAUAACUAACCUUACCAACAUAACUUUUAAGAAAAAUUGUUACUAACUUAAUAACUAAUACUUAUGGAUGUAUAGUGUCCGAAAUAAAUAAUUAUUAUUUACGACCCGGCGCCGUUCGCACUUCAUAAGAGCUGAAAAUUGUCCGCCGUCUAGACUCGGUUUUAGAGAGUACGGCUUGCUCUAAACGCCAUGAUAAUUUGGAAGGAGGAAGUAGAAGCAAUGAAAAAUUUUCCCAUGGAAAGAGUGCAUGCUUCUAUUGAUAACUAGCUUCAACGUUUAAAAGACUGUAUUGCAGCCCACUUAGAAUAAGCUUUUAUAUUUUAAAUUAUUUUAUAUUCAUGUAC